rnacentral:rRNA from 1 species
UACAGAGGGUGCGAGCGUUGUUCAGAAUUAUUGGGCGUAAAGGGCGCGUAGGCGGUGCGGUAAGUCACCUGUGAAAUCUCCUGGCUCAACUGGGAGCUUGCAGGCGAAACUGCCGUGCUGGAGUGUGGGAGAGGUGCGUGGAAUUCCCGGUGUAGCGGUGAAAUGCGCAGAUAUCGGGAAGAACACCCGUGUCGAAGGCGGCUCUCUGGAACGCAACUGACGCUGAGACGCGAAAGCGUGGGGAGCAAACAGG